rnacentral:rRNA from 1 species
UACGAAGGGGGCUAGCGUUGCUCGGAAUCACUGGGCGUAAAGGGCGCGUAGGCGGCCACCGCAAGUCGACUGUGAAAUCUCCGGGCUUAACCCGGAAAGGUCAGCCGAUACUGCGGGGCUAGAGUGCAGAAGGGGCAACUGGAAUUCUCGGUGUAGCGGUGAAAUGCGUAGAUAUCGAGAGGAACACCUGCGGCGAAGGCGGGUGCUGGGCUGACACUGACGCUGAGGCGCGAAAGCUAGGGGAGCGAACGGG